rnacentral:snRNA from 1 species
GUGCUUGUUUCAACAACACAUAUGCUAAAAUUGGAAUGAUACAGAGAAAACUAGCAUGGCCUGUUAAGGAUGACAUGUAAAUUUGUGAAGUGUUCAUAAAAUAU